rnacentral:rRNA from 1 species
AACGAACGCUGGCGGCAUGCCUAACACAUGCAAGUCGAACGAAACCUUCGGGUCUAGUGGCGCACGGGUGCGUAACGCGUGGGAACCUGCCCUUAGGUUCGGAAUAACUCCCCGAAAGGGGUGCUAAUACCGGAUAAUGUCUUCGGACCAAAGAUUUAUCGCCUUUGGAUGGGCACGCGUUGGAUUAGCUAGUUGGUAGGGUAAAAGCCUACCAAGGCGAAGAUCCAUAGCUGGUCUGAGAGAAUGAUCAGCCACACUGGGACUGAGACACGGCCCAGACUCUUCCGGGAGGAAGCAGUGGGGAAUAUUGGACAAUGGGCGAAAGCCUGAUCCAGCAAUGCCGCGUGAGUGAUGAAGGCAUUAGGGUUGUAAAGCUCUUUUAACCGGGAUGAUAAUGACAGUACCGGGAGAAUAAGCUCCGGCUAACUCCGUG